rnacentral:rRNA from 1 species
CGGCAGGCCUAACACAUGCAAGUCGAGCGGUAGCACAGAGAGCUUGCUCUCGGGUGACGAGCGGCGGACGGGUGAGUAAUGUCUGGGAAACUGCCUGAUGGAGGGGGAUAACUACUGGAAACGGUAGCUAAUACCGCAUAAUGUCGCAAGACCAAAGUGGGGGACCUUCGGGCCUCAUGCCAUCAGAUGUGCCCAGAUGGGAUUAGCUAGUAGGUGGGGUAACGGCUCACCUAGGCGACGAUCCCUAGCUGGUCUGAGAGGAUGACCAGCCACACUGGAACUGAGACACGGUCCAGACUCCUACGGGAGGCAGCAGUGGGGAAUAUUGCACAAUGGGCGCAAGCCUGAUGCAGCCAUGCCGCGUGUGUGAAGAAGGCCUUCGGGUUGUAAAGCACUUUCAGCGGGGAGGAAGGCGGUGAGGUUAAUAACCUCAUCGAUUGACGUUACCCGCAGAAGAAGCACCGGCUAACUCCGUGCCAGCAGCCGCGGUAAUACGGAGGGUGCAAGCGUUAAUCGGAAUUACUGGGCGUAAAGCGCACGCAGGCGGUCUGUCAAGUCGGAUGUGAAAUCCCCGGGCUCAACCUGGGAACUGCAUUCGAAACUGGCAGGCUAGAGUCUUGUAGAGGGGGGUAGAAUUCCAGGUGUAGCGGUGAAAUGCGUAGAGAUCUGGAGGAAUACCGGUGGCGAAGGCGGCCCCCUGGACAAAGACUGACGCUCAGGUGCGAAAGCGUGGGGAGCAAACAGGAUUAGAUACCCUGGUAGUCCACGCCGUAAACGAUGUCGAUUUGGAGGUUGUGCCCUUGAGGCGUGGCUUCCGGAGCUAACGCGUUAAAUCGACCGCCUGGGGAGUACGGCCGCAAGGUUAAAACUCAAAUGAAUUGACGGGGGCCCGCACAAGCGGUGGAGCAUGUGGUUUAAUUCGAUGCAACGCGAAGAACCUUACCUGGUCUUGACAUCCACAGAACUUAGCAGAGAUGCUUUGGUGCCUUCGGGAACUGUGAGACAGGUGCUGCAUGGCUGUCGUCAGCUCGUGUUGUGAAAUGUUGGGUUAAGUCCCGCAACGAGCGCAACCCUUAUCCUUUGUUGCCAGCGGUUAGGCCGGGAACUCAAAGGAGACUGCCAGUGAUAAACUGGAGGAAGGUGGGGAUGACGUCAAGUCAUCAUGGCCCUUACGACCAGGGCUACACACGUGCUACAAUGGCAUAUACAAAGAGAAGCGACCUCGCGAGAGCAAGCGGACCUCAUAAAGUAUGUCGUAGUCCGGAUUGGAGUCUGCAACUCGACUCCAUGAAGUCGGAAUCGCUAGUAAUCGUAGAUCAGAAUGCUACGGUGAAUACGUUCCCGGGCCUUGUACACACCGCCCGUCACACCAUGGGAGUGGGUUGCAAAAGAAGUAGGUAGCUUAACCUUCGGGAGGGCGCUUACCACUUUGUGAUUCAUGACUGGGGUGA